UCGCGGUUGCCUAGUGGUCAUGGCUUCAGAUUCGUGUUUUGGUUCAGUCCCAGGUUCAAUCCUUGACCGCUAAG